rnacentral:rRNA from 1 species
CAGUAGCCGCGGGAAUACGGAGGAUGCAAGCGUUAAUCGGAAUUACUGGGCGUAAAGCGCACGCAGGCGGUCUGACAAGUCAGAUGUGAAAUCCCCGGGCUUAACCUGGGAACUGCAUUUGAAACUGUCAGGCUGGAGUCUUGUAGAGGGGGGUGGAAUUCCAGGUGUAGCGGUGAAAUGCGUAGAGAUCUGGAGGAAUACCGGUGGCGAAGGCGGCCCCCUGGACAAAGACUGACGCUCAGGUGCGAAAGCGUGGGGAGCAAACAGGAUUAGAUACCCCAGUAGUCCCUGUCUCUUAUAC